UCAACGCCAGCUGAUGCCAUGGCUUCAAGUACACCGAAUGCUUUCUCCAUCUUGCCGACUAAGCCAUAUCCAUCAAUCAGUGAAUUAAAUGUAAUAACGUUGGGUCUUUCACCUAUAUGUAUAACCAAGUCAAAGAUAUCCUGUGCAUCCACAACUCUUCCUUCUUUGCAUAGACUGUUUAUUAUUGAACUGAAGAACGCAAUGUUAGGACAAGGAAUGCCUCUGCUCAUCAUUUCAGAAACCAACUCCUUCGCUUUAACCAAAUUACCAUACAUACAAAACCGCUGAAUAAGGGAGUGAUAAACAAUUCCGUUCGGUUUUAGUCCCAUAGCAAUCAUCUGGUCGAAUUUGUCCAUAGCAUCAGCCAGCCGACC